UACGGGGGGGGUAAGCGUUGUUCGGAAUUACUGGGCGUAAAGCGCACGUAGGCGGCUUUCUAAGUCGGGGGUGAAAUCCUGGAGCUCAACUCCAGAACUGCCUUCGAUACUGGAAAGCUCGAGUCCGGGAGAGGUGAGUGGAACUGCGAGUGUAGAGGUGAAAUUCGUAGAUAUUCGCAAGAACACCAGUGGCGAAGGCGGCUCACUGGCCCGGUACUGACGCUGAGGUGCGAAAGCGUGGGGAGCAAACAGG
rnacentral:rRNA from 1 species